UAGUUCAUUUUAAGCUCACUAGAUUAUAGAUAAAACCUGAACCUACACUGUAUGUAGUGUACCUUUAGCUAAGAGUUUGUGCAGCGGGUGUGACCUCUCCACCAUCUUCCACAGGGUCAGGUUGUGUGAGGCGAUCAGCAGGGCGUCGGUGUCGUCCCUCAGCCACCACGAUAUGGACACUGUACGGUGGUUGACACAGACUGUUAGGAUGUACGGUGCUGGUGACUUUGUGUGCGUCCCAGGGUGUGUCAAUAUCACAAACAUACACAUGACCACCCCAGGUGUCACCAUCAGUGUCGGACAGUUCCGUAAGUGAUGAGAACGCUAUGAUGUUGCGUAUUGAUAUGGUGCAUAUUGGCCGCACUACUUCUGGGUCUGUGCUGGAAUGUGGACAAAUUUGACAGCACGUUAAUGAAAUCAGCUCGUCUGCUGUGUAAAUUAUAGUAACCUUUACUUUGGUUUACACAAUAAAGUCCGAUGUUUGAAGACAGAAAUAUAGUUUGUUGAAGUUGU